AUCUGAGGGUCUUUCAGUGAGAAGUUCCCUUGAUAUUGAAAGACCCCUGGAGCGGGGAGACCCUCACUCAAGUCUUGGGAUGAUGCGAUCCCCCAAGAACUCACGUGAGACC
rnacentral:pre_miRNA from 14 species